UAAAAAUUACUAUAAUUUUAUUUAUAGUAAUAAUAAAAAAUUGAAUUAAUAAGAAGCGUAAAAACCCAGAAUGCGGACUAAAUGUUUAUUAUUGUUUUCGUUAUGUAAGGGUUGUCGACCUACAGAUAGCCUGCAGUACCUAUACGGUCAGUAAUCAGUAUGCCUUUAACGUCGGUAUCGACCACUUCAAAAUUUAAGUGUUGUAAUUUGAAAACUCUUAUAUGAAGUAUGCUCCGAUCAUUUCAGUGGAUGUAGAGAGUGUUCGUUUUGUAUGUUAAAUGUUGAAUAUUCUGCCGGACAAUAGUCAGUUUCACUACUGCGAAUUAAGAGAAAUAUACGUUAGGUAAUUACAUUUUUUUUUUUUAAUUUAAAUUAACUUUUAAAAAAAAAUUUCAACUAGGUAGGUAGUUCAUAUUAAUUUUUGGUCAUGCUAUUUUUUUUUGCUUUUUUUUUUUAGAAAAUAAAUACACUUCUUAUUUGCUUUUUUAUAAUAAUCGUGUGCUUUUUUAGUUGCUUAUUAUGCUUUAAAAUCCGAGCCCUAUUAAUAAGUAAUUUAAAACAUUAAAUACCGUGUUGUAACUGGGCCCCCAUAAUUUGGUGCGAACAGGGGCCCACCGGGAAAAUCCCAAUUUCGCUAUAAUAGGCCUAAUAACCACCUCUGCUUACCAAUAACUUACUAAAAAAUUACAGUAUUUCAUUAAUAAUAAUUUAUCAAACCAGUUUUUAAUGUAUUGCUGAUGAGUGAUGAUUAGGGUUAGGAUGUUUAUGAUUUUCCAUAUUUUUUUAGAUUGUCCAAUGGCUUUCGUUCUCAUACAGAAAUGUGUCUCAUGAUAUCUAUAUUUAAAAUACCAAAUUUUUAUUUUGCAUACUUAUAAUUGCAUAUUUUUCCAUUUUUUAUUUAUACCUAAGUGCAUAAUUUAUGUUUUUUCUACUUAUAAGCGCAUAUUUGACGGUUUUCGAUGAAAAAUGAUAAAAAAUAACGUAAUUUUAUGGUAUAACGAGCAAGGCCGCAACUGAAAAAAAAUUUCGAGGGGGAGGUCCAAAUUUUUUUUUAAAUCUAUAGAUAUUGAACGUAAUUUCUACGUUAAAAGUAUAAAAUUUGAUUAUUAUCGUUAUUGAAAACUUAAUUCGUCAUUAUAAUACUUAAUUCACAUAAUAGUUAAUUAUUUAAUAAUAAAAAAAUAUUUCUACUUUUAAAAAUUUCGAUGAGGGGGCCGGACUCCUGCACCCUCCCCUCAGUUACUGCCUUGAAAACGAGUACAUAAAAAUAACACCAACACAAUUUGUUGAUAUUUUAAUAUUCUAUCUAUUAAUAAUAAUUUAAUUUAUCUCUAUAUAUUUAUUGAACUUAUUUUCACAUUUCUUUAUUUUUAAUGCAUAUUUUUCAAAUUUUUCAUACACAUUUAACUGUUUUUUUAGCGCAUAAGUGCAUACUUAUUCAUAUAUGUUUUAGUGCAUAAACAUGCUUAUGCCGUUCACCGUCAUUUUAAUCGAGGCCUAUGUUCGUUAUCACUUAAUGUCACUCGUACUUAUAAGAUAAAAUUAAAUUAUUAUUUUUCUAAAAUUGAAUAAUAAUUAUAUUCACAGAUAUAUAAAAUAAUAAAUAAUAUAAUAUGUAAAUUGUAAAUAUUUAUUUUAUAUAUCUGUGUGCUAUCUAUAUAUUAGUAUAUAAUAUUAUUGUUAUCUUCAUGAUAAACGUAAUGUAAAUCUAUUCUGUUAAUCAGUAUCGGAUAUCUGUGCUGAUUCAAAAGUUGUAAGUUAUUAUUUACAAUCUUCAAUCUUGUAAGUUGUUAGGUUGUAACGCAGAAAUGCACAAACAAUUGAUGGAGAUAUGAAAUGGAUUUCAUCCAUUCUGUGGUUAGUAAGUAUUUGAUAAUUGAUAUUAUUAUAAUAUUAGACCGUUUCCGCGGUUCUGUGUAUCUUGAUGUUAAUAGGCAGUAUUGAAGAUGGGAAUUAAAAGAUAAAACAAUAGCCAUUUAUUUAAUAUUGGACGUACGAUUUUCGAAAAGUGAGCAUUUUUAUUUAAGGUUUUUCAUUGUUGCUUGAUAUUUUUCAAUAAUUAAUUAGUCGAAUUAAUAAAUUACACAACAUUUAAUUAAAAUGGAGAGUGUAAAUGAUAAUGUACAAAACAAAACCAAUCAUGUCAUGACGGAUAACGAUUAUUUGUUUGAUUUUGAACAAGAGAAUUGGCACAACCAAAAAAUUCAUCGUUCAAAUAUUAUGACAAAUAAUGCAGUGAAGACAAUUGAAAAAGAACGAGAAAACGUAGCAAAAGAUUUAAAGUUAUUACAAGCUAUUGAAGAAGAAAAAUCAAGGUUGAAAAAUUCAAUGGAAAUAUUUAUACAGUUGAAAAAUGAACUUGAAAAAAAACUCAAGUCAUAGUCAUUAAAGAACUUAUUUAAUUUACUUAAAAUAUACGAUCUAGUAAAAAUGAAAA